GAUUCUCUAUUUUAGUGUUUAUUUCUUUCGUGUUAUUUCAAUCCUCUCUCCCCCACUCUCUCUCUCAGAUAAGAUAUUCCAAGAAUGAAAAUUUAGCUAAUAUCCUAACAAAUCUUCUAAUUAUACGUUCUAUAUAAGAACGUAAUUGCUGUCGGUAAUACUAGCAAUAAAAUAUACGUUUAAAGAAGAAAAAAUGACAGAAAAAAUUUCGAAGAAUUACUUAAUUUCAUUAUCUUAAUGUUCAAUGAAUCGUUAAAUAAACAUUGAAUAAUAUACAAGGUGUUCGGCUAUGUCAGAAAAUUUAAGGCGUGAUUCGUGAAGCCGAAAUAAGACGAAAAUCAAGAAUAAAAAAUUGCCUUUUCGGCUUUGCUUUUUAGUUAUUGACAAUUAAAAAUCGUCCAAAAUAUUCCUGCACGCAGGCAACCUUCCUUACAGAAGUGAAAGAGGCUCAGCCUACGCAACGAAGCGCACAGUGAUCCUCAAGUCGAACGACACAUAGGCGGCAGCCCACUCUAUACAGCAAAGCAAUUAAUCUUAUAACUGAUAUAAUUAUUAAUAAUAUAAUUAUAAUAUAAUAACGGCAAGUAAUAGGAGCUAAGUAGCUGCAAUUCAAGCGGCGAAAUAGGAAUUCGGUGACGGUCAAUCCUUGUUUUUUCCGCUGAAACUUGGAGUUAUUUCGUGCACGGGGGUGCGUCGUGUAGGUUCGUUAGUUCUUUGAGAGAUCGUGAUUUCGUUCGUUUCGGGCAUGCCGCCAUUUUUCUUUCAUGGUUUGAUCGAUCGAGGUUCCCCUUGUUUACCCAUUUUUAAGGAAAGCUUAUUGCAGUCAUGUUAGAAUUUAUAACUUUACGAAAUUGUAUAUACAAUGUCAGUAGCUUUAUUUUCUUUUUCUCGUUCCAAGUUAGACAAAUGUGUUUUUGAUACUCAAUGCUGUCAGUAGGGCUACGAAUUAUUGUACGAUGUUUAUAAAAAUCGAUGUUAUCAUUGUGUAAGAUAUAAGUAUUGCGCGAUGUACAUAUGUUUUGUUUGAAAUUUGGAAACAAGUGUUGCGUGGAUGACGAAUGUUUUGUUUACUGCGUAGUAAUGUUUACGUUUUUUUUUGUAGAUCGCUUAACUUUCCGUAUCGGCUUGCGUGACCCCCCACCGCUUUGGAAGUUGCGCAGCGAGACUAAGGUACGAGAGGUCAUUCAGUUGUUUUAUUUCGUGCCAAUAACAAGGUUCGUGUUGAGUCAGGUGUGUAACGUAUUCUAACCUAUUGGUGACGCGUUUUCGGUGGUGUUAUUUCUUCAUUAUCUUUUUGCUAUCAUUUAUAUCUUCUUAUAAAUACCAUUUAAUUAAUACGCUUUUAUUUAACGAUUCGUCUAACAUUAAGGUGAUGAAAUUAAGUGGUUUCCUGAAAUUUCUUAUUUCAAUUUUUCUACAGUCGUCUAUUUACCAAAUGAUACUGUUACCGGUAGCUCCUAUCGUAAGCUUUUGUAAUAAAAUUUAAGUUUGAUUGUAUUUUCGUUUAAUUAUUUUAUACAUUUGUUUUAACUUCGUUAUUUUUUGUGCAGUUAUUGAUCGAUAGCAGGGAUAAUAUAAAACAGGAAUAUUAAUAUAUGGACGCAACAACAAUUAGUCAUCAAUCCGAUGAAUCUUCAUGGAAAUUUGGUGACUACACAAACCGGACUCCAUUUCUUGCGCAAGAUGGUUGCCAGAUGUUUACACAUCCUUAUUUCGGACCCUGAAGAAUCUCCAUGACUCACUGUAGAUCUUAGCAUUUUCAUAGUUAAUUUCCUUCAGACCAAACAGUCAACGACCAUUGUCCUCACCUUCCUAGUCAAAAUUACCAUCAACGAAUCCGAUGGUACCGUGCGCUAGACACACUCAUCAAUAGUUUUCCUCUACGACAACAUCGUCAUCAAACUUCACUGGUUUUUCAUCCUUGCAUCAGUCACAUCUCUUGACUGGUUUUCCGUCCAUUGACCAGUCAUCAAUUUAACUUGUUACUACAAAGUUGUUAGAAUAAAGUGUAUAUUAUAACCUGUUACUUCAGUGCUAUAAUCAGUUCAACCAUCUCUAUUAUUCUAACUGAAAUAGGAGAUCGACCAAUUCGUGGCAUCGAUUAUGAAAUCGCAACGGGAAUUUACGACUUUUGUUGGCGGGCUUCUUGGCAAUCGCGUCUCCCCGCGAACGGUCGAAAAAGCUAGUGCAUCUCUCAAGAGGAUAAAGCCUCUCUAGGAUCUCAGGAAU